GUUCAAUAUUACAAUAUACGAAGUUGCAACGAAUGUGACUGUCAUAUUCCCCCUCCUCCUCUUUAUCGAAUCUCUUUCUGUGGUCUGAAUAUGUGUAAGAAAGAUCAAAUAGACAAUCACUUCUUUAGUUGGUGUUGAAUAGUGCAGGGGAGUAGUGCACGUGCUCGUGGGAAUAGUGCUUGGUAUAAAGUUGUUUUUUUCUCUGGUGUCUUUUUUUUGGGUGCUCGUGCGUACAUUUUUGUCGGUGUUUGGCGUUUUGUAGUUUUUUUCACAAUGGCUGAGGAAUAUAAUUUAAAAUCACUCGGUAAGGCGUUAAAAAAUAAAAUUUAUAUUAAACAUAUAUCUUUCUUUACCAGCCCUCCCUUAAAUAUACAUACAAUUUGUAAUGGAAAUACAUAUG